AGUGGCGGACGGGUGAGUAACGCGUGAGAAUCUGCCUUGGGGUCGGGGACAACCACUGGAAACGGUGGCUAAUACCGGAUAAGCCGAUUGGUGAAAGAUUUAUUGCCCGAAGAGGAGCUCGCGUCUGAUUAGCUAGUUGGUGAGGUAAGAGCUCACCAAGGCAGCGAUCAGUAGCUGGUCUGAGAGGACGAUCAGCCACACUGGGACUGAGACACGGCCCAGACUCCUACGGGAGGCAGCAGUGGGGAAUUUUCCGCAAUGGGCGAAAGCCUGACGGAGCAAGACCGCGUGAGGGAGGAAGGCUCUUGGGUUGUAAACCUCUUUUCUCAGGGAAGAAGCUCUGACGGUACCUGAGGAAUCAGCCUCGGCUAACUCCGUGCCAGCAGCCGCGGUAAUACGGAGGAGGCAAGCGUUAUCCGGAAUUAUUGGGCGUAAAGCGUCCGCAGGUGGCGAUUCAAGUCUGCUGUCAAAGCACGGGGCUUAACUCCGUAAAGGCAGUGGAAACUGAAUAGCUAGAGUGCCGUAGGGGUAGAGGGAAUUCCCGGUGUAGCGGUGAAAUGCGUAGAGAUCGGGAAGAACAUCGGUGGUGAAAGCGCUCUACUGGACGGCAACUGACACUCAGGGACGAAAGCUAGGCAGCGAAUGGGAUUAGAUACCCC
rnacentral:rRNA from 1 species